rnacentral:rRNA from 1 species
AAUCUGAUUCGUAGGUGACCUGCGGAAGGACAUU